GUCCUUGAGGGGCGACAGACAUCAUUUACUUAUUUGGUGUUCCUCAAAGCAUAUAGCAGGAUGCCAGGGUCAAACAGGGUUUUAUGGGACAUGGCUUGGGUUUUUAAGGUUGUCAACUCUGUGUGAACCUAUACUUUCAUUCACAGUCCACAAAAAAACCGUAUUUGGAAUUGCAACCUGUCCCAGUGCGAAAGAGAAACACAAAACAAAACAAACAAAAGCAAGCUGUCUGGCAUUGAAAGCGCUGGCAGCCAGAGCAGUAAUCUGUUGGUAAUUUUGCAAGGUUUCCAUGCUGAUUACACUUGGGCAGUAUCCAUGUCCCAGAGGAGGAGUCCAUACACCCCCCCAGCCACCCCAGGAACAAGACAACAUCUGCACAAAAACAGACAAGGAUUACCUUGACAAUUAAAAGAGCUGGCCACUGCUAAUGCUAUUGUCAGUGAUCUUCUACAAGAAUGUCAAUUAAAGGAAAAGCCAAUGCUA